UACGUAGGGGGCAAGCGUUGUCCGGAGUUACUGGGCGUAAAGCGCACGUAGGCGGAUUGUUAAGUCAGGGGUGAAAUCCUGGAGCUCAACUCCAGAACUGCCUUGAUACUGGCGAUCUCGAGUCCGGGAGAGGUGAGUGGAACUGGCGAGUGUAGAGGUGAAAUUCGUAGAUAUUCGCAAGAACACCAAGUGGCGAAGGCGGACUCACUGGCCCGGUACUGACGCUGAGGUGCGAAAGCGUGGGGAGC
rnacentral:rRNA from 1 species